rnacentral:rRNA from 1 species
AGCCCCCCGAGUGGUGGGGAUGAUUAUUUGGCCUAAAGCGUCCGUAGCCGGCUUUGUAAAUCUCUCGUUAAAUCCAGCGUCCUAAGCGUUGGGCUGCGAGAGGCACUGCAGAGCUAGAGGGUGGGAGAGGUCAGCGGUAUUCCUGGGGUAGGGGCGAAAUCCAUUGAUCCCAGGAGGACCACCAGUGGCGAAGGCUGCUGUCCAGAACACGCCUGACGGUCAGGGACGAAAGCUGGGGUAGCGAAUCGGAUUAGAUACCCGAGUAGUCC